rnacentral:rRNA from 1 species
CAGCCGCCGCGGGAAUACGGAGGGUGCAAGCGUUAAUCGGAAUUACUGGGCGUAAAGCGCACGCAGGCGGUUUGUUAAGUCAGAUGUGAAAUCCCCGAGCUUAACUUGGGAACUGCAUUUGAAACUGGCAGGCUAGAGUCUUGUAGAGGGGGGUAGAAUUCCAGGUGUAGCGGUGAAAUGCGUAGAGAUCUGGAGGAAUACCGGUGGCGAAGGCGGCCCCCUGGACAAAGACUGACGCUCAGGUGCGAAAGCGUGGGGAGCAAACAGGAUUAGAUACCCGCGUAGUCCCUGUCUCUUAUAC